rnacentral:rRNA from 1 species
GAUGAACGCUGGCGGCGUGCCUAAUACAUGCAAGUCGAGCGAACGGACGAGAAGCUUGCUUCUCUGAUGUUAGCGGCGGACGGGUGAGUAACACGUGGAUAACCUACCUAUAAGACUGGGAUAACUUCGGGAAACCGGAGCUAAUACCGGAUAAUAUUUUGAACCGCAUGGUUCAAAAGUGAAAGACGGUCUUGCUGUCACUUAUAGAUGGAUCCGCGCUGCAUUAGCUGGUUGGUAAGGUAACGGCUUACCAAGGCAACGAUGCAUAACCGACCUGAGAGGGUGAUCGGCCACACUGGAACUGGGACACGGUCCAGACUCCUACGGGAGGCAGCAGUAGGGAAUCUUCCGCAAUGGGCGAAAGCCUGACGGAGCAACGCCGCGUGAGUGAUGAAGGUCUUCGGAUCGUAAAACUCUGUUAUUAGGGAAGAACAUAUGUGUAAGUAACUGUGCACAUCUUGACGGUACCUAAUCAGAAAGCCACGGCUAACUACGUG